AUGGCACUCAACUGCUACACCUUGUUGGCGCUGCUCGCACUCUGGGUUCCCCUGGCCGUUGUGGCCGGCGACCCGGACAUCCUGGCCGACUUCAUCGUCCCAGCGAGCGCCAACCCGAUGAACCUUACCGGCAACUUCUUCACCUACACCGGCUUCCGCCCCACAAGGUCAGUGACGUCUGGUUUCACCUUGAACAAGGCCACCAUGAUGGAGUUCCCGGCCUUGAACGGCCAAAGCGUGUCCUAUGCCACGCUCACAUUCUCUCCAGGCUCGGUCAACCCCACACACACACACCCGCGUGCCUCCGAGCUGCUGGUCGUCAUCAGCGGCACGCUCUCUGUCGGGUUCAUCGACACCGCCAACAGGCUCUACACCCAGGACCUCGCCACGGGCGACAUGUUCGUGUUCCCCAAGGGGACGGUGCACUACCAGUUCAACCAAGGGAACAGCACCGCCACGGCGCUCUCCGCAUUCGGGAGCGCCACGCCUGGGCUCGUGUCCGUUCCCCUUGCUGUGUUUGAUACCGGCAUCGACAACACCGUCCUCGCCAAGUCGUUCAAGACUGACGAGGCGACCAUCCAGAAGCUCAAGGCUGGCCUGGCUUUCCGGUGCUGUUAA
rnacentral:rRNA from 1 species